GAUGAACGCUGGCGGCGUGCUUAACACAUGCAAGUCGAACGAAGCUGCCCAAAGGAAGUUUUCGGAUGGAAUUUAGGUAGACUUAGUGGCGGACGGGUGAGUAACGCGUGGAUAACCUGCCUUAUACAGGGGGAUAACGGAGAGAAAUUUCCGCUAACACCGCAUAAGACCACAGCACCGCAUGGUGCAGGGGUAAAAUAUUUAUAGGUAUAAGGUGGAUCCGCGUCCGAUUAGCUAGUUGGUGAGGUAAAGGCCACCAAGGCGACGAUCGGUAGCCGGCCUGAGAGGGUGAACGGCCACAUUGGGACUGAGACACGGCCCAAACUCCUACGGGAGGCAGCAGUGGGGAAUAUUGGACAAUGGGGGAAACCCUGAUCCAGCGACGCCGCGUGAGUGAAGAAGUAUUUCGGUAUGUAAAGCUCUAUCAGCAGGGAAGAAAAUGACGGUACCUGACUAAGAAGCCCCGGCUAACUACGUGCCAGCAGCCGCGGUAAUACGUAGGGGGCAAGCGUUAUCCGGAUUUACUGGGUGUAAAGGGAGCGCAGACGGCAAUGCAAGUCUGAAGUGAAAGGCGUGGGCUCAACCCAUGAACUGCUUUGGAAACUGUAUAGCUUGAGUGUCGGAGGGGUAAGCGGAAUUCCUAGUGUAGCGGUGAAAUGCGUAGAUAUUAGGAGGAACACCGGAGGCGAAGGCGGCUUGCUGGACGACAACUGACGUUGAGGCUCGAAGGCGUGGGGAGCAAACAGG
rnacentral:rRNA from 1 species